UUUUCACAGAUGAGAUUGCCAAGCUGCUCCUGAUCCUGAAUCUGUUCGCAACGAUCGGCGAAAUUGGUGCCAAAUAAUGUCGAUAGGCUUCAGGCAGAUCAGAAGUUGAAAAUCGGCAUCGUGUUUGACUGGGCUUCAGGCGAUAGAUGUACACAAUGUGAUCUCAGGAAUUUUAGAUUUAAUAUUUCUGAGCCAAAACUGAAGUAUGCGCGAAGAUGAAGACCUUAUCUGGAGGAGGCUUAAACAUGCCAAGGUUACAAAUAUUUGAACUGGAUGGAGUGCCCUUAGUCGCACAACAAUUACAAAAAUAUGAGAUGCCAAGUUGUUCCCAAAUCUAUUCUCAACAAUCGACGAAAUUGGUGUCAAAUGAUGUCGAUUAUGCUUCAAGUAGAUUAGAAGAUGAAAAUCAGCAUCAUAUUUGUUUGGGCUCUAGGCGACAGGAUUGUGCGAGAGGUAGUAUCCUAUUCAGCAGAGGUUCAGCAAGGAUCAUGAAGUGCAAAUGCAUUGAAUGGCUCUUGAAUAUAUUUAUCC